CUGGGCUAGGACGGGGGCCAGGAAGAGGGAGACCACAGGUCGGGGAGAGCAGACCUAGGGAGCACCGGCCGUCGGGGGAAGGCCGGCGAAAGGAGAGAAUAGGCUUCAGCCUCCAUGACCAAAGUUCCAAAGGGAAGGUUCAAAGAGUUGCUCAUCAGGGAAGGAGGGGGAAUGCAGAGACCCAGGAGGAACAGUCAAGACACAACAGUGCAGCCCGGGGGGCAGGGUCCUGGUUUCUGCUCAAGGAUACACGGAAUAUCUUUGAGCUCUUCUGCAGAACUCAGCCCCCCCCAAAGGGAAGAUGUUAACCACUUUGGUGAAGCAUUCUUCAUUCCAGAAAGUACUAGGACCAACCACCAGAACCAGGGCCACUAAACACCAGCUUUGAAGAAUGAAAGUUUGUAUCUACCCUGCUCCUUAUCUGUGGCCCUGUUUUCCACUCCCCACACUAUAAAACCACUUCCUGGUCUCUCCCAGAGAAGAGCAGAGUCUGUAGGGCAUGAGCCUGCUGUGGCCUCCUUUGCCUGGCAAAGCUAUAAAGCUAUUUUUUUCCUCCAUUGCCCAAAACUAUCUCCACAUUUCCGUGUGGCACUGGUGAAGAGAAGCUGCGUUUCAGCAAUAACCCCACUAUCUCGUGAGUGGGAAACACCGAGGGGUGUGGCCAGACAAGACUGCCAAGGGGAAGUUCCUGUUGUGGCGCAAUGGAUCGGAGGUGGUCUCUGCAGCGCCUCUGCACCGGAACACAGGUGCAGCCAGCUCCAGGCUUAUGGCUCAUCCUUGCUGCUUGGGUUUGGCUCCACAGUGAACACCACACGGCGAGCCCUGCCCGCCAGGCCUGCAUCUCAGCCGGGAUCGUGGCUGACCUCCGAGGCCCAGGAAACCUCAAAAGCCCACAUUUCCCCAUCACAGCCACCGGGCCAGCCCUCUUCUAAAUUCUGAUGGCAGUUCUGCACGUUACUUAAAGGAAAAGAAAAAAUCCAUGUUUAUUUACCUUAAAUUUUAUAAUGCCUUUUUAUAAACACAGACUGUUCUAAGCAGAAUUAGAAUAUUGUAAGUAUAA